UUAAGCGACUAAGCGUACACGGUGGAUGCCCUGGCAGUCAGAGGCGAUGAAGGACGUGCUAAUCUGCGAUAAGCGUCGGUAAGGUGAUAUGAACCGUUAUAACCGGCGAUUUCCGAAUGGGGAAACCCAGUGUGAUUCGUCACACUAUCAUUACGUGAAUACAUAGCGUAAUGAAGCGAACCGGGGGAACUGAAACAUCUAAGUACCCCGAGGAAAAGAAAUCAACCGAGAUUCCCCCAGUAGCGGCGAGCGAACGGGGAGCAGCCCAGAGUCUGAAUCAGCUUGUGUGUUAGUGGAACGGUCUGGAAAGUCCGACGGUACAGGGUGAUAGUCCCGUACACCAAAAUGCACAGGUUGUGAACUCGAAGAGUAGGGCGGGACACGUGGUAUCCUGUCUGAAUAUGGGGGGACCAUCCUCCAAGGCUAAAUACUCCUGACUGACCGAUAGUGAACCAGUACCGUGAGGGAAAGGCGAAAAGAACCCCGGCGAGGGGAGUGAAAAAGAACCUGAAACCGUGUACGUACAAGCAGUGGGAGCCUCUUUAUGGGGUGACUGCGUACCUUUUGUAUAAUGGGUCAGCGACUUAUAUUCUGUAGCAAGGUUAACCGUAUAGGGGAGCCGAAGGGAAACCGAGUCUUAACUGGGCGUUAAGUUGCAGGGUAUAGACCCGAAACCCGGUGAUCUAGCCAUGGGCAGGUUGAAGGUUGGGUAACACUAACUGGAGGACCGAACCGACUAAUGUUGAAAAAUUAGCGGAUGACUUGUGGCUGGGGGUGAAAGGCCAAUCAAACCGGGAGAUAGCUGGUUCUCCCCGAAAGCUAUUUAGGUAGCGCCUCGUGAAUUCAUCUUCGGGGGUAGAGCACUGUUUCGGCUAGGGGGUCAUCCCGACUUACCAACCCGAUGCAAACUGCGAAUACCGAAGAAUGUUAUCACGGGAGACACACGGCGGGUGCUAACGUCCGUCGUGAAGAGGGAAACAACCCAGACCGCCAGCUAAGGUCCCAAAGUCAUGGUUAAGUGGGAAACGAUGUGGGAAGGCACAGACAGCCAGGAUGUUGGCUUAGAAGCAGCCAUCAUUUAAAGAAAGCGUAAUAGCUCACUGGUCGAGUCGGCCUGCGCGGAAGAUGUAACGGGGCUAAACCAUGCACCGAAGCUGCGGCAGCGACACUAUGUGUUGUUGGGUAGGGGAGCGUUCUGUAAGCCGUUGAAGGUGUAUCGUGAGGUAUGCUGGAGGUAUCAGAAGUGCGAAUGCUGACAUAAGUAACGAUAAUGCGGGUGAAAAACCCGCACGCCGGAAGACCAAGGGUUCCUGUCCAACGUUAAUCGGGGCAGGGUGAGUCGACCCCUAAGGCGAGGCCGAAAGGCGUAGUCGAUGGGAAACAGGUUAAUAUUCCUGUACUUGGUGUUACUGCGAAGGGGGGACGGAGAAGGCUAUGUUAGCCGGGCGACGGUUGUCCCGGUUUAAGCAUGUAGGCGGAGGUUCCAGGUAAAUCCGGUACCUUUUUAACGCUGAGGUGUGAUGACGAGGCACUACGGUGCUGAAGUAACAAAUGCCCUGCUUCCAGGAAAAGCCUCUAAGCAUCAGGUAACAUCAAAUCGUACCCCAAACCGACACAGGUGGUCAGGUAGAGAAUACCAAGGCGCUUGAGAGAACUCGGGUGAAGGAACUAGGCAAAAUGGUGCCGUAACUUCGGGAGAAGGCACGCUGAUAUGUAGGUGAAGCGACUUGCUCGUGGAGCUGAAAUCAGUCGAAGAUACCAGCUGGCUGCAACUGUUUAUUAAAAACACAGCACUGUGCAAACACGAAAGUGGACGUAUACGGUGUGACGCCUGCCCGGUGCCGGAAGGUUAAUUGAUGGGGUUAUCCGUAAGGAGAAGCUCUUGAUCGAAGCCCCGGUAAACGGCGGCCGUAACUAUAACGGUCCUAAGGUAGCGAAAUUCCUUGUCGGGU
rnacentral:rRNA from 1 species